UUAUUUGCAUUUGUUUCCAUUCACAUGCUGCUACUGAAAGACCCCCCGAAGGGAGACCCUCACUCAAGCCUCGGGACAGCCGCGGACCCAAGAAGACACUGAGACCG
rnacentral:pre_miRNA from 7 species